rnacentral:rRNA from 1 species
GACGAACGCUGGCGGCAUGCCUAAUACAUGCAAGUCGAGCGAACAGAUGAAGUGCUUGCACUUCUGACGUUAGCGGCGAACGGGUGAGUAACACGUAAGGAAUCUACCUAUAAGCGGGGGAUAACAUUCGGAAACGGGUGCUAAUACCGCAUAAUAUCUUCUUCCGCAUGGAAGAAGAUUGAAAGACGGCUCUGCUGUCACUUAUAGAUGACCUUGCGGUGCAUUAGUUAGUUGGUGGGGUAACGGCCUACCAAGACGAUAAUGCAUAGCCGGCCUGAGAGGGUGAUCGGCCACAUUGGGACUGAGACACGGCCCAAACUCCUACGGGAGGCAGCAGUAGGGAAUCUUCCGCAAUGGGCGAAAGCCUGACGGAGCAAUGCCGCGUGAGUGAAGAAGGCCUUCGGGUCGUAAAACUCUGUUAUAAGAGAAGAACAAAUUGUAGAGUAACUGCUACAGUCUUGACGGUAUCUUAUCAGAAAGCCACGGCUAACUACGUGCCAGCCGCCGCGGUAA